rnacentral:tRNA from 1 species
AGUAUUAUAUUUUAAAAUAAAAUUUUAAAUUGCAAAUUUAAAGAUAGAGAUAUUCUUAAUACUU